GUUUAGUGCGGACAGACGGCCGGGCAGAGGGACAUCAGGACAGAGCCGCGAGCAGGAAUUCCACAGUCCCUCAGCACAGAGGACACGAGACAGACCCGAGCACAUCUCCUCGGAGCCUGCACUCCACCCGAGGGGCACUUUAAUCUCAAACAAACAGGACAACAAGAUUAAGACUUUCGGAUUUAUUGCACACCUUUCGUGGUGACACAAAGAGAAUUCCUCAAGGACACAUUUUAUGAGAGUGGCAGACAUUUGAACUGGAGUUGCGCACUGCUCCGAAUGGACGGAUUCUUCAUUUAAUUGCGCUUUGUGUUUCGGGUUUUCCCAGAAAUCCGCGGAAGACGAACUGAACAGCUCUAGCCUGUUGAAAGAAGGAAAAUUGGACAUAUUUUUGGACAAGUUGGCGGAAUGGUAGAGGACUUUUGGGAAAGGGUUUUGAACGAUUGCGUCUGGCGAGUGGAGAUGCCAACUUUACAAAGCCACAGGACGAGUGGAAGUACUGCUGAUAGCAGAUGAGAUAAAACACAGCAAAGGACCGAAUGCAGCUCUUUUUGCGGCCUGUUCAGCACAUGCAAUUGAUAAGCACUGAUAACUCCCUGCUAUUAAAGAAAUGAAAAUGAGCUCUGCAGACAUUUGUUCAAAUCAAGUCCCAGACCUUAUUGGUGAGCAGAUUCAUAUAGGAUUUAAGACAGUUGCAAAUGCAUGCGUUUGCAAAACAGCUAACAGCUGUGAAGUGAAGAAUUUGUGUUUGAUAUAUCCUCAACUCUAAUUUUGCAUAUGUUCUGUAGUGUUCUUUCAUUUUUCAAGCUUUUAUUUUCUAUAGUAUUCAGCACAUACGCACAUUCACAUAUAAACCGUGUGUGACAUACUGGAGAGUGAUGAUGGUUAUUGUUCUAUUUCACAUCCAUUUACCGUUCAAAGGCCUCUGACCUUUUAUUUACACUGAGUCCCUCUGAAAGCAGUGAGAACACCUCACUGUUAUCUUUUGUACCAUAUAUUUAAUUAUUUUUCCAUUAUCUAGUGAUUCAUUCUGCAUAUGUUUACAAAGUGCAACUGUCUGCAAUUCAUCCGAGGCUGGGAAUCAUUUCAAUGGCUCUAAAUCAUUACAUCUUGGAGUGCCUGUGUAAUUUUACACAAUGAAUCAAAGCCCCAUGAUUUCAUUGCUCCUUGGUGUCAGUUUAAGAUCAGCAUGUGUACAAAAUUAAAUCAAAGCAUCUGUAAUAGGACAUGAAUGAAACAUAAAUGUUCUUUUCACACUCACUGUGUUCUGCAGUGAGAACAAGGGUAGCUUUGAUCUGAAGUGCAUGCAUAAUCCACACUAUCUGACAUCACCAUCUCCAUUCUGUGUAUAAAUCCUACAGGAUCUCAAGAGGCCUGAACCUGUGCAGUACUUUUAUUAACUCUACCAUUGUGUUUUUGUAACUCUACCAUUGUGUUUGUGGAGCCAAGACACUACAUGGUUUUACUUUAGUCCUGUGUUGAGCAAAGAUCAACGUGCAGACGCCGUGCGUCUGUGAUGUACAGAACCAUUUCUAUUGUAAAAUAUAUUGAAAAGAUUGAGAGUGGGAAAGGGGUAUUAUGGAGUCAAUAAUGUCUGUACAUCAGAAAUAUGUGUGAAAUACUGUACUUGUUAUUUUAUGCAAACGCUGACAAAGAAAAAAAACAUCCUUCUUUUUCCAAUGACCAAAUUUUCUUGGGCUAGUUUCAGGUCUUUCGUGUGUUUUUUGGCAUGUAAUUUGGUGGUUAACCCAUGUUACCUCAAACACGUUUGAACUGGUCAAAAUGAAAACCGCCCAAAAUGAUCUGCUAGACUGUAUGCUAGAUAUCUAUGUUGUUGACUCUCCACUACCUGUUACAAAUUUACUCUAACAAUUCACUAAAUAGUAGCCUAUAGCAUAAUCAAGUUUGAUAACCGCUCAUUGAGGCUAUGCCAUUUAUGUCAUCCUGCCUGUCUUCAGGACAUUGUUGCUAAGUUAUGUAAAUUCAUUUGGAACAUUUAGUACUAACUGAUAUAGUUAUUUUUUUAGUCUUACAAUGAUUGAAUUGUUCCUAGGUUUAACAAGAAAGUUUACUCCUCAUUUUCGGGGCUCAUAUGGUGCUUUUGUGAUAUUGUGCCAACUAUUGUAAUUGUCUCAUGCUGUUUCGUGUGUGUUGUGGAGGAACAGAUGUACGCAAAUGCAUCUCAUCCACUAAUUCCUCAUUCUCUAAUGUGGCAGUGAAGAAACAGCCUUUGAAAUAAAGAAAAAAAAACAACCUGUCAGUAAUCAGGCUUGAAUUCAUCUCCUUGUUUACUAUAAAUAUAUUUUGUAUGUUUUCCCUUCACCAAAAAAGAAGAAAACGAAGUUAAGACAGUAGAAGCAUCUGUUCGCAGUAAUGUAGCCUGUCCAAUCUGGCCCUGUCAGCAUUUUGAGACUUUUUAUUUGUCUGAGGCAGCGCGACCUCUGUCUUUCCAUCCCAUUAAGUCCCAAAUUCUGCACAAAUGUUUUUUUUUUUCUUGAGGCAAACUGCAGCUGCAUGUAAUGUUUACUGUGCACAUUUGAUUGUGUGUGUGUGUGUGAAUGUGUCAGGACAUGGGACAUGCAUCCAAAGGAUAUAGGGUGUUUCUCUGUCACACUGUGUCUUUCUGUGUCUCCUCAGAGACCAUGAAAAGUCAAAGAUAUAUUGUUACUAUCAGGUUAGAGAUGUUUGAUCUCUCUCUCUCUCUCUCUCUCUCUCUCUCUCUCUCUCUCUCUCUCUCUCUCUCUCUUUCUCCCCCUCCCUAUCUGGCUCUCUGAG
ensembl:lncRNA